rnacentral:rRNA from 1 species
UGAAAAAGAACCUGAAACCGUGUACGUACAAGCAGUGGGAGCACCCUUUUGGGUGUGACUGCGUACCUUUUGUAUAAUGGGUCAGCGACUUAUAUUCUGUAGCAAGGUUAACCGUAUAGGGGAGCCGCAGGGAAACCGAGUCUUAACCGGGCGUUAAGUUGCAGGGUAUAGACCCGAAACCCGGUGAUCUAGCCAUGGGCAGGUUGAAGGUUGGGUACCACUAACUGGAGGACCGAACCGAC